GACAGAGGUGCCGAGCGUUAGGCGGAAUCACUGGGCUUAAAGCGUGUGUAGGCGGAUCGUUAAGUACCUUGUGAAAUCCCACGGCUCAACCGUGGAACUGCUGGGUAUACUGGCGGUCUUGAGCCACCUAGGGGCGAGCGGAACAAGCGGUGGAGCGGUGAAAUGCGUAGAUAUCGCUUGGAACGCCAACGGUGAAAACAGCUCGCUGGGGGGUGUGCUGACGCUGAGACACGAAAGCCAGGGGAGCGAACAGG
rnacentral:rRNA from 1 species